ACAUUCUAGUUAAACUACUUCUU
rnacentral:tRNA from 1 species